GGACCGACAGCAAUAUGAAGGCCAGGCUGAUGGCUUCGCCGGUUUAGCUGAGCGGUGGUGCAUCCCCGUCGUCAGUUCGUGCUGUGAAGCAUCCUGUUAAGUCAGGCAACGAGCGAGACCCACGCCCACAGUUGCCAGCGUACUCUCCGGAGUGACGGGUACACUGUGGGGACCGCCGCUGCUAAAGCGGAGGAAGGAAUGGGCAACGGUAGGUCAGUAUGCCCCGAAUAUCCCGGGCUACACGCGAGCUACAAUGGUUGGUACAAUGGGUAUCUACCCCGAAAGGGGACGGGAAUCUCCUAAAACCAAUCUUAGUUCGGAUUGAGGGCUGCAACUCGCCCUCAUGAAGCUGGAAUCCGUAGUAAUCGCGUUUCAACAGAACGCGGUGAAUACGUCCCUGCUCCUUGCACACACCGCCCGUCAAACCACCCGAGUAGGGUCUGAAUGAGAGCGCUUUCUUUGGAGGCGUUCGAAUUUGGG
rnacentral:rRNA from 1 species